GCAGAGGUCAAAGAGAGAAGAGAUCGUUGUGGUUCUUUUGCGUCGACGUUGAGGCACGUGCGUCUAACAGGUGGGCGUGACCACUGACACGUGUCUGUAGAGAUGUGUGAAAGCGAGGUUUCGAGUAACGCAGGGGACCGACUUAGCCCGCUUACCGGCGCUUCUUUUCCGGUCAACGGUCAAACUCGUCUCUCCCUCUCUCUUGCACGAACAAGAGAAUCUGCAAACUCAAAGCACGUGUUAACUGUAUUUUCUUCAAUCCCUAGUUCCACCUUUGGUCGGGUUUAUUUGUUGUUAUAUUACAUUUAAACCUAAUUAGUCCCUAAAGAUAUUGCUUUCUCUAGUGUAAUGGUGAGUGAUGACAAGUAAUUUUUUCCUAGUGU